rnacentral:rRNA from 1 species
UACGGAGGGUGCAAGCGUUAUCCGGAUUCACUGGGUUUAAAGGGUGCGUAGGUGGAUCUGUAAGUCAGAGGUGAAAUCCCCAAGCUUAACUUGGGAACUGCCUUUGAUACUAUAGAUCUUGAAUAUCGUGGAGGUAAGCGGAAUAUGUCAUGUAGCGGUGAAAUGCAUAGAGAUGACAUAGAACACCAAUUGCGAAGGCAGCUUGCUACGCGAUUAUUGACACUGAUGCACGAAAGCGUGGGGAGCAAACAGGAUUAGAUACCCUGGUAGUCCACGCCCUAAACUAUGGAUACUCGACAUCAGCGAUACACUGUUGGUGUCUGAGCGAAAGCAUUAAGUAUCCCACCUGGGAAGUACGAUCGCAAGAUUG